rnacentral:rRNA from 1 species
UGGGGAAUAUUGCGCAAUGGGGGAAACCCUGACGCAGCAACGCCGCGUGAUUGAAGAAGGCCUUCGGGUUGUAAAGAUCUUUAAUCAGGGACGAAAUAUGACGGUACCUGAAGAAUAAGCUCCGGCUAACUACGUGCCAGCAGCCGCGGUAAUACGUAGGGAGCAAGCGUUAUCCGGAUUUACUGGGUGUAAAGGGCGCGCAGGCGGGCCGGCAAGUUGGAAGUGAAAACUAUGGGCUCAACCCGUAAAUUGCUUUCAAAACUGCUGGCCUUGAGUAGUGCAGAGGUAGGUGGAAUUCCCGGUGUAGCGGUGGAAUGCGUAGAUAUCGGGAGGAACACCAGUGGCGAAGGCGACCUACUGGGCACCAACUGACGCUGAGGCUCGAAAGCAUGGGUAGCAAACAGGAUUAGAUACCCUGGUAGUCCAUGCCGUAAACGAUGAUUACUAGGUGUUGGAGGAUUGACCCCUUCAGUGCCGCAGUUAACACAAUAAGUAAUCCACCUGGGGAGUACGACCGCAAGGUUGAAACUCAAAGGAAUUGACGGGGGCCCGCACAAGCAGUGGAGUAUGUGGUUUAAUUCGAAGCAACGCGAAGAACCUUACCAGGUCUUGACAUCCGAUGCAUAGCGCAGAGAUGCGUGAAGUCCUUCGGGACAUCGAGACAGGUGGUGCAUGGUUGUCGUCAGCUCGUGUCGUGAGAUGUUGGGUUAAGUCCCGCAACGAGCGCAACCCUUAUUGCCAGUUACUACGUAAGAGGACUCUGGCGAGACUGCCGUUGACAAAACGGAGGAAGGUGGGGAUGACGUCAAAUCAUCAUGCCCUUUAUGACCUGGGCUACACACGUACUACAAUGGCGUUUAACAAAGAGAAGCAAGACCGCGAGGUGGAGCAAAACUCAAAAACAACGUCUCAGUUCAGAUUGCAGGCUGCAACUCGCCUGCAUGAAGUCGGAAUUGCUAGUAAUCGCGGAUCAGCAUGCCGCGGUGAAUACGUUCCC